rnacentral:lncRNA from 1 species
UUUUUUUUCCUGUCUUUCUGUGCACUGUUGUUCAAUGGCAGAGGUGGGAUUCACCUGCUAUAAAGUCUUGAAUGUAACCAUCUAUAAUGUCUUGAAUGUAACCAUAACAAAUCCUGUCGAUCUAUGAGGAAUUUCAAAAUGAACAGGACUAAAAUCUGUUUCUAGUGAAAACUUGCAUUACCGUAUAGAGAACUAUAUAAUUGGUUCUUUCCACGCAACCACUUGAACUUUAUUUUCUCUAAAGCCCAACAUUUACUUCAAGGGCUCUAAAGUCAAAACUAUAUUUUGGAUGUCAAUAAAGGUUUUAGCCAUUAUGUGGGGGAAUGUGUUGUGUUAUUUUUAAGUGAGCUAACACAAUUAACUAAAAACUGGCAUAGGAUGCAACUCGACGUAGAUGUGCUCAAGGAGUAUGAUAAUUUUGGUCGCCACAGCUUUGAUGUGAUACUUUGUAAUCAAUCUCAGAUCCGAACCACCUUGAACAGUUGAACAACAGAUUUAAUAUUGUAACAAGUAUUUCUACGUAGUGCUUUGAAUAUUUAAUAACAUUUGGAGAAUUUAGGAGACACUGGUCUUCUGUUGGAUUCUUUCAUUCCAUUAUGUCUUAAGGCCAAAACACUUUGAAACCCAAGCUUCUGUUUUUUUACUUCUGGUCUUCCUAUAUUUCCUAACCUAAGUAAUAAACCCAAAAUCCCUCAUGAUUUAUUGAUAAGCC